rnacentral:rRNA from 1 species
AGAGAUGUGUGAUGACGCAUAUCAAUAAGCGGAGGAAAAGAAACUAACAAGGAUUCCCUUAGUAACGGCGAGUGAAGCGGGAAGAGCUCAAAUUUGAAAUCUUCAAGGUUCUACCUUGACGAAUUGUAGUUUAUAGAAGUGUUUUCUGUUAGUGGAGUGGCAAAAGUUCUUUGGAAUAGGACAUCAUAGAGGGUGAGAAUCCCGUAUUUGGUCAUUCCUCCUAAGCGUUGUGAUACACUUUCAACGAGUCGGAUUGUUUGGGAAUGCAGUCCAAAAUGGGUGGUAAAUUUCAUCUAAAGCUAAAUAUUGGCGAGAGACCGAUAGCGAACAAGUACCGUGAGGGAAAGAUGAAAAGAACUUUGAAAAGGAGAGUUAAACAGUACGUGAAAUUGUCAAAAGGGAAGCGUUUGACACCAGUGUUGUUUUUUCCGAAAAUCAAUUACGAAUGUUUUAUUUUUGAGGAGUUAUGACUUCAUCGGCUUGCUCCUUUCUUUAUGAAACUUUCUUAAUGCACUUUUCGGUUAACAAGUCGACAUCAAUUUCUUUUGUUGUAAAAGGGUAUGAGGAAGGUGGCUUUCUUUUCGGAGAAAGUGUUUAUAGCCUUGUGCCUCUGCAAUCGGAGAGAUUGAGGUCUGCAGCGUAGAUCCUUCGGGGUUAGAUACGUUUGUGCUAAGUUAUAGCUUUUCAUAGACAACUUGUUGACUAUGUUUAGUCUUGUAGCUUACUCGCUGACGCUAUUUUACCUACGCUUAGGAUGUUGAACUCUAUCACACACA